rnacentral:rRNA from 1 species
AGAGUUUGAUCCUGGCUCAGAAUGAACGCUGGCGGCGUGCUUAACACAUGCAAGUCGCACGAGAACGCUUCAGCUUGCUGAAGUUAGUAAAGUGGCGCACGGGUGAGUAACGCGUGGGUAAUCUACCCCCGAAUUGGGGAUAACAUCGCGAAAGCGAUGCUAAUACCGAAUGAUAUCUUGAAAACUCUGUUUUCUGGAUCAAAGGUGGCCUCUACAUGUAAGCUAUUGUUUGGGGAUGAGCCCGCGUACCAUUAGCUUGUUGGUAGGGUAAUGGCCUACCAAGGCAACGAUGGUUAGCUGGUCUGAGAGGAUGAUCAGCCACACUGGAACUGACACACGGUCCAGACUCCUACGGGAGGCAGCAGUGAGGAAUUUUGCGCAAUGGGGGAAACCCUGACGCAGCAACGCCGCGUGAGUGAUGAAGGCUUUCGGGUCGUAAAGCUCUGUCAAGUGGGAAGAAACCAUAUGGUGUUAAUAUCGCCAUAUGCUGACGGUACCAUUGAAGGAAGCACCGGCUAACUCCGUGCCAGCAGCCGCGGUAAUAGGGGGGGUGCGAGCGUUAUUCGGAUUUACUGGGCGUAAAGAGCGCGUAGGCGGUCUUUUAAGUCAGGUGUGAAAGCCCGGGGCUCAACCUCGGAAGUGCACUUGAAACUAAGAGACUUGAGUAUGGGAGAGGGAAGUGGAAUUCCUGGUGUAGCG